rnacentral:miRNA from 1 species
GCAGACACAUUCCAGCCAAUCGUCAGCAGACCCUCCCUCCCAGACCCUCCCACCUCCUGGACAGCAUGCAUUUUACAUUCAUUGGGAGGAGGUGGGAGGGACUUGGAGGGAGGGUCUGCUGCCGAUUGGCUGGAAUGUGUCUG